CGGCACUCUUAAGAUUGAGCUGUGAUGGGGAGAGGAAAUUGUUUCCUCGAGUCGUUGAUUUCACACUGCCGAGAAAAGCCUCUAGAUAGAUAAUAGGUGCCCGUACCGCAAACCGACACAGGUAGUCAAGAUGAGAAUUCUAAGGUGAGCGAGCGAACUCUCGUUAAGGAACUCGGCAAAAUGACCCCGUAACUUCGGGAGAAGGGGUGCUCUUUAGGGUGCAAGCCCAGAAGAGCCGCAGUGAAUAGGCCCAAGCGACUGUUUAUCAAAAACACAGGUCUCUGCUAAACCGUAAGGUGAUGUAUAGGGGCUGACGCCUGCCCGGUGCUGGAAGGUUAAGAGGAGUGGUUAGCUUCUGCGAAGCUACGAAUCGAAGCCCCAGUAAACGGCGGCCGUAACUAUAACGGUCCUAAGGUAGCGAAAUUCCUUGUCGGGUAAGUUCCGACCCGCACGAAAGGCGUAACGAUUUGGGCACUGUCUCAACGAGAGACUCGGUGAAAUCAUAGUACCUGUGAAGAUGCAGGUUACCCGCGACAGGACGGAAAGACCCCGUGGAGCUUUACUGUAGCCUGAUAUUGAAAUUCGGCACAGCUUGUACAGGAUAGGUAGGAGCCUUUGAAACGUGAGCGCUAGCUUACGUGGAGGCGCUGGUGGGAUACUACCCUAGCUGUGUUGGCUUUCUAACCCGCACCACUUAUCGUGGUGGGAGACAGUGUCAGGCGGGCAGUUUGACUGGGGCGGUCGCCUCCUAAAAGGUAACGGAGGCGCUCAAAGGUUCCCUCAGAAUGGUUGGAAAUCAUUCAUAGAGUGUAAAGGCAUAAGGGAGCUUGACUGCGAGACCUACAAGUCGAGCAGGGUCGAAAGACGGACUUAGUGAUCCGGUGGUUCCGCAUGGAAGGGCCAUCGCUCAACGGAUAAAAGCUACCCCGGGGAUAACAGGCUUAUCUCCCCCAAGAGUUCACAUCGACGGGGAGGUUUGGCACCUCGAUGUCGGCUCAUCGCAUCCUGGGGCUGUAGUCGGUCCCAAGGGUUGGGCUGUUCGCCCAUUAAAGCGGUACGCGAGCUGGGUUCAGAACGUCGUGAGACAGUUCGGUCCCUAUCCGUCGUGGGCGUAGGAAAUUUGAGAGGAGCUGUCCUUAGUACGAGAGGACCGGGAUGGACAUACCUCUGGUGUACCAGUUGUCGUGCCAACGGCAUAGCUGGGUAGCUAUGUAUGGACGGGAUAAGUGCUGAAAGCAUCUAAGCAUGAAGCCCCCCUCAAGAUGAGAUUUCCCAACUUCGGUUAUAAGAUCCCUCAAAGAUGAUGAGGUUAAUAGGUUCGAGGUGGAAGCGUGGUGACACGUGGAGCUGACGAAUACUAAUCGAUCGAAGAC
rnacentral:rRNA from 1 species